rnacentral:tRNA from 1 species
GAUGGAGUGGCGGAAUUGGCAGACGCAUCGGGUUUAAGCCCCGACGGAUAUUUCCAUGAAAGUUCAAAUCUUUUCUCCAUCACCA